rnacentral:rRNA from 1 species
CCUACGGGGGGCUGCAGUGAGGAAUAUUGGUCAAUGGACGAGAGUCUGAACCAGCCAAGUAGCGUGAAGGAUGACUGCCCUAUGGGUUGUAAACUUCUUUUAUAAAGGAAUAAAACGAGGCACGUGUGCCUUUUUGCAUGUACUUUAUGAAUAAGGAUCGGCUAACUCCGUGCCAGCAGCCGAGGUAAUACGGAGGAGCCGAGCGUUAUCCGGAUUUGUUGGGUUUAAAGGGAGCGUAGAUGGGUUGUUAAGUCAGUUGUGAAAGUUUGCGGCUCAACCGUAAAAUUGCAAUUGAUACUGGCAGUCUUGAGUACAGUUGAGGUAGGCGGAAUUCGUGGUGUAGCGGUGAAAUGCUUAGAUAUCACGAAGAACCCCGAUUGCGAAGGCAGCUUACUAAACUGCCACUGACAUUGAUGCGCGAAAGUGUGGGUAUCAAACAGGAUUAGAUACCCUAGUAGUC